CUGGCGGCACGCCUAACACAUGCAAGUCGAACGAAGUAGCAAUACUUAGUGGCAGACGGGUGAGUAACAUGUAGGUAUCUACCCUUUGGCCUGGAAUAACACGAGGAAACUUGUGCUAAUACCGGAUAAGUCUUUACAGAGAAAGCUUUAUGCACCAUUGGAUGAGCCUGCACUUGAUUAGUUUGUUGGUGGGGUAAUGGCCUACCAAGACUGUGAUCAAUAGCUGAUUUGAGAGGAUGAUCAGCCACAUUGGGACUGAGACACGGCCCAAACUCCUACGGGAGGCAGCAGUGGGGAAUCUUGCACAAUGGAGGAAACUCUGAUGCAGCGAUGCCGCGUGAGUGAAGAAGGCCCUUGGGUUGUAAAGCUCUUUCGUCGGGGAAGAAAAUGACUGUACCCGAAUAAGAAGGUCCGGCUAA
rnacentral:rRNA from 1 species